AGCAGCCGCCGCGGGAAUACAGAGGGUGCGAGCGUUAAUCGGAUUUACUGGGCGUAAAGCGUGCGUAGGCGGCUUUUUAAGUCGGAUGUGAAAUCCCUGAGCUUAACUUAGGAAUUGCAUUCGAUACUGGGAAGCUAGAGUAUGGGAGAGGAUGGUAGAAUUCCAGGUGUAGCGGUGAAAUGCGUAGAGAUCGGGAGGAACAUCAGUGGCGAAGGCGGCCAUCUGGGACAACACUGACGCUGAGGCACGAAAGCGUGGGGAGCAAACAGGAUUAGAUACCCCAGUAGUCCCUGUCUCUUAUAC
rnacentral:rRNA from 1 species